rnacentral:rRNA from 1 species
UACGGAGGGUGCAAGCGUUAUCCGGAUUUACUGGGUUUAAAGGGUGUGUAGGCGGGCUAUUAAGUCAGCGGUGAAAUCUCCGGGCUCAACCUGGAAACUGCCAUUGAUACUAUUAGUCUUGAAUUUUGUUGAGGUAGGCGGAAUAAGUCAUGUAGCGGUGAAAUGCAUAGAUAUGACACAGAACACCGAUUGCGAAGGCAGCUCGCUAAACUUAUAUUGACGCUGAGGCACGAAAGCGUGGGGAUCAAACAGG